rnacentral:lncRNA from 1 species
UUUAGAAACCCUAACGGCUUUCAGAGAGAGCGCGAGACGACAGGUGGUACGGCACCACCACCGGAAACACCGCCAUCAUCUCCAAUCGCACCACCACAUCUAACUAUGUGCCAUUACAUCUUCUUCUUCGCUACCUCUACGAACCCGCCGACGUAGAUGAUCGGAGUUGGUCGGCUUUACGGCGUGCUCUUUCUCUAUUUCUACUUUUCAUGUUCAGGGUUCCGGCGAACUGAUUCAAGGUGUGUGUAUGUAAUCUGAGUAGAUCAGUCUUACCUACGGCAACUGAGAGACACUAGGUGAGCCAUUUAUCACUUUAUAUCCUCCCGAUCAGAAUUCCGGCAAGCCCCUUUGGGCUUGCAUGUUUCGUUUCUAUUUAGAUCUACAAGCAAGAACUAAUUUUUAUUGGAUUGGAGUUUAAUACGAUGGUUCUUCUGAAUUCCUGCAACCUUUGGAUCUCGAAUGGUUUUGUGAGAUGAUGUUGAGCAGCAAAUGACGAUGGUGAUAGUUCAAAUGGUACAUCAGGGGCUGCUAUAGAUAGUUUUAGAUCAUGGCCAACCUCAUUCAACACGAACAGAUCAUAACUCUGAGCACAUGAACGGCAAGGGGUGUGAGCGAUCGAAUCUAAUAACAUCCAUACGGGCGGGGUUUCAACUAGGAGGCAUUUGGAGAUUGAAGAUAUAAUAGCAUAUUGGCAGAAUAUGAUUUAGUAUUUGGAUUUUGGAGAGAGAGAGAUGAGGAGAGAGAGCUUAAAAAGGGUCGCUGGCCAGAUCAAUAAGAGUGUAAGGAGGUGCUUUUACCUCCAUUGUCACUGCAAUCGCUAAAGCUCGCCAGAUCCAAAACACCCUCAUCGAACACUAGGGUUCAAAAUUGCCUUAAAUCGAAGGCCCAUCGGGAUUACGAUUGACGAAAUCAGAAACGCUCUUCGAACGAUGAUAAGUGGAAAUCGAUGAUGGUGGGUUGUAAGGAUGUCGGCAAUCUGAUGGGGUAAUUCUAAGAAGAAAUAGAGAGAGAGAGAGAGAGGGGUCGCGCUAGCGGUUACCGGAGGGUGGAGGCAAUCUUUUGCGUAGAUCGGUUUAUCCAAGGAGAGUAUGGAAGACUCAGUUACAUCGAUGGAUAGUUUUUCAACCAGUUCUCUUUACAGAGCCAUUUAAACCAGCGUUUGUUCCCGAUAGCGACACCAACACUACUGUCCGCCACCACCAACCUGUGCCAUCGAUCACCAUUGUUGUCGUCUCCGGUAGCCGUUGUAAACAACCCAACCCCAUGACCCCUCGCCACUACUGCCUACCAUCUCCGUCACCUCCUUCGCAAGCGGGACAAGAAGAGGCAGCCAUGUGGACGCGCUCACAAGCGUAUCCAGUAUAACCGCCAUUCAUCACUGCCGAUGCACUGUCUUUUGUUGAUUGAAGAAUUUUAAUCAAGUACAACUUAGUUGUUUUGAAAAUUAAUCAGGUAAAGUUCACGGAUCAUUGGUGCGUGCGGGCAAGGUGAGAGGCCAAACCCAAAGGUCGCCAAGCAGGACAAGAAGAAGCAGCCUUGCGGACGCGCUCACAAGCGUAUCCAGUACAACUAUCGUUUGUCACGGCCAAUGUUAAUUCUCUCAUUCCUUAAUUUAUUUGUUUUCAAGAUAACACAAUUAGAAUGAGUUACCUGCCCAGCAACCGGCACUAAACCAACAGUAAUAACUACCCAGCAACCGGGAUGGAGUGGAAUCUAAAUUUAAUUUUAAAAGUUUUUGGUUCUCCCAUAAUUUGUUAGAAUUAGAAUCCAAAUUUCGUUUGUUUGGUUGAGAAAUGAUAUUGAAAUGUAUUC